GGGCCUGUAGCUCAGCCGGUUAGAGUGCUACUCUGAUAAAGUAGAGGUCGGAUGUUCGAGUCAUCCCAGGCCCACCA
rnacentral:tRNA from 2 species